rnacentral:rRNA from 1 species
AUCAGCAGCUCUAUCACCCUGCAACUCAUCUGGCAGCCCACUGAAGCUCAGCAGGAGUGAGCCUGGCCAGUACCUAGAUAGGAGACUCCUGGGAAAGCUAAGGUUGCUGCUGGAA